GAGGAGGAAAGGGACCAUCACAUUGACAUCUCUGAUGCCAUCCAGCUUGUUCCAGAUGAGGCGCAGGCGACGGCUACCGCCCUAGGGAGCACUCCCUUCCCUCUGUAGACGGGGCGGAUACCUGUGGCCAAAGGAUGCCAGGGUCUGCAAAGUGGCCCCUCCGAACAGGGGGCCAACAGCCGUGCCGCAGCCCUCACCACCCUGCUUGCUGGGCUGCGGUUGGCUCUGGUGAUGAGGACCCACGGGUACAGGCUCGCGGUCGGUGCCCCCCACCUCUGCUCCCAUGGCUGCCCAGGCCUGAAGUGCAGAGUCGCUGUCCCCAUCGGGGUCUCCGCUGGCAUGGAGCAGCAUGCUGUCCAUGGGGCUCCCAGGAGCCUUCUGGAGGCCUCACCUAAGACAGGACGUGAAGCACUGAGUUCACCAUCAGGAAAAUGAAGUGAGUGGGCACCAACAUGGAGCUCGACGUGCCCGUGUGCACCUGCCGCCUGUGGCUGAGUGCUGCUCCCUGAAGUGGGUGGCUCUGGCGAGGUCAGCCCAGGUGGGGGCACAGGGCAAGCAGAGUCCCCUGAGCCCUGGGCCUCCCUGGGCUUGUUCCCAUAGAGGGCAUCCAACCUGAGGCACUGUGUUUCUCCUCAGAGCAGUGCCAGCGCCUCCCCAUCCCGUGGGCUGCAGAACUGAGGCCGCCCUCAGGCUUCCUGCUGUUCAGGUAGUCCUAACUCCUGUGGCAGUGUCCUUGUCUCUAUCCGCAGAGGCCCCGGUGGGCUGCAGGCUGGCUUCACAUCCACUUAGAGGUCAGGACAGACAGGGACACUAGCAGCUGAGCCCCCGCCCCACCCAUCAGGGAUCCAGGCUCUCCUGGGGCGCUCACAUCAUCCCAAGCUCCUAUGCCAGGCCUUGGGAUGCUGCCCUGUGCGCCCUCUGCUGUCUGCCCCUUGUCCCCAGGACGCUGUGAGGCUUGGGACUCAGCCUUCCACCCCUGCCCACAGCUGGUUUGUCCUCUGGGCUCAUCGAGGCAGCCUCAGUGCUCUGCCUCUCACCGCAUCCGUCCUGCUCCUCCUCCGGCACGGCCCUCUGUCCCUGCAGGCUGGAGCUGGAGGAUAGGAGGAUGACAGGAUGACAGAUCUGCUCUCCAGUCCUCCCUGGUCAGCUUCUCCACACAAACAUGCACAGGCAUACACAAACAUGUGCACACACGCGCAGACACAUGCACACACGUGUGCACUUCUUUCUGGGCGAGGUUGUACAGCCCCUGGUGGGCGUCUGUGGGGUCCUGGGGGAGCAGGUUUCCUUCUCUGAAGGGCAGGGCCUCUGCCUGACCCUGGGGCCUAGGGCCCACCCAGCAUGGCCUCCAUGCCUGGCUGUGGACCUUGCCCUGGACCCUAGCUCUGCCUUCCACGCUCUGCUGGUGGCUGCCCUUCCUGCAGGGCCCUUGGGCUGGGCAGACUCUCUGCCAGACUUCCGUCAGGCAUAGCCCCCAUUUGAGCCUUGUGCCCAGGUCACCUUGCUGGCUCCCUGGGGGUGGAGGCUAAGGAGCCCCUCUGCCUGGUGGUGCCCCUCACUCCCGGACAAGAGGCGAGGAUGGGGUCCCUCUGUCCCUGGCUUCCCUCAGCCCAGUUGUCUGAGUGCAGACUGUGGGCAUCUGGUCCUGCUUCCUCCCACCAGCUCGGCAAUGUGCCCCGGCAGCCAGGGGCAACCUGGCUGGGCCAACCCUUCCUCUCUAGAACCCUAACUCCAACCCCAUGCUUCUCGGGAAUCCUGGGUGCUGAGGGCCAGGGAGCUCAGCCAGGAAGCUGGUUCUUGAACAAGUUGGUCUCUUGAUAGCCUGGCCACCAGGGACUGACAUCCACAGCUGGGAGCCACAACAGCCCGGGUGUCCACUCCCACAUGAUGGGAUGGCUGCUUGCCCAUACUCCCCAAGCCGCCCCUGGGUGCUGCCAGUGGGUGGUCUGUGAGUUCCCCGGGCCCAGGAAGCAGGCUCCAGGGCUCCACUCCCAAGUGCCACCCUGAAUGUCCGUACCUGUCCUCAGAAGACUUGUGGAGCACCGCCCUAGCCCCCAAGUGUGACCUGAUUUGGAAAUGAAGCCUUUCAGAUGCAAGGGCAGGGGCUCCUCCGAAGUGUGGCUGGUGACCCUCCUGGUUGGCUCCAGACUGCACACCCUGAGCCUAUCCCUCCCUCCCCAAGGACACUGGGGACAGGGGUGUCCUCAGCCCAGCUGGACCUGAGUGGACAGGCCUGAAACAUGUCCAGAGCCGGGAGGCAGCAUCCCUCAGCAGGCCUCUCCCUUCAGAGCACACCACUGGCCCCACUGCCCAAGGCCACACUGCCAAGGUCCCACUGGGCUGCCCGGGUGGCCACGUUUGUUCUUUUUAAAUGUUUAUUGUAUCAGUCUGUGUCUGAAGUACAGAAUAACCACAUUCGUCAUGGGACUUGGUAUGUGGGCACGACAGCUCCAGUCCUUCUAUGUCCCCUUCUGCUCUCCGCCCUCUUCCACCAUCUCUAGAUCCUCUUCCUUUCUACAAAAGAUCUACGUAUUUACACUUUGGGAUUCCCAUGUAAGAGAAACCACAUGAUAUUUACGCUUGUGUGUCUGGCUUAUUUCGCUGAACGUCAGGGUAGAAGCUGUACCCAUUUUCCUGAAAAUGAGGAGUUUGUCUUUCUUUAUAGCAGAGUAGUGCUCCGAGGUCUGUAAACACCACAUACUCUUUAUCCAUUUAUCUGUUGAUGGACACACAGGCCACUUCCAAGAUAUAGCUGUUGUGAGCUGUGCUGCU